UGAAGAAUCUGUCCAUCGGCGGGGGAUAGCCGGCCCAACGGCCGGGUAAUACCGCGUACGUCGGCGGAAGCGCAUGCUUCUGCCGGGAAAGCAGCAAUGCACCGAUGGAGGACCUCGCGGCCUAUCAGCUUGUUGGCGGGGUAAUGGCCCACCAAGGCGACGACGGGUAGCUGGUCUGAGAGGAUGAUCAGCCACAUUGGGACUGAGACACGGCCCAGACCUCUACGGGA
rnacentral:rRNA from 1 species